AUUCUUAUUAGCUCAAUGGUAGAGCAGAAUACUUCUAAUAUUUGUAUCUAAGUUCGAGUCUUAGAUAAGAAUUCC
rnacentral:tRNA from 1 species